CAAAUACUACCUCCAUUCGGAAAUACUUGUUCUAGAGAUGAAUGUAUCUAGACUUAUUUUAAUUGUAGAUACAUUCAUUAUAUGCAUUUUUAGGACAAAUAUUUUGGGACGGAGGGAGUAUCUA
rnacentral:pre_miRNA from 1 species